UGGGUAUGGGAGCGUGAGCCUGUGUGCUGGGCUCCUAAACUCCUGACAGGCCUUGAGAGACAGGCUUGCUCAGAGUCCUGGCUGUGAAAAAUGUGAAGUUCCUGUGGGGUGGAAGACACACAGGCUUCCUCUUCUUGUUCUCUCAAAGGGGAAGGUUGCGACUAAGACAAUGGUGAGCUGUCUACUGAGAGCUGGAUUCUAGGAAGAAGGAGAGCACAGCUGGGGAAAAGACCCUCGUGGACAUCUAGACAUUCAGAAAUGCUCCCUGUCUAGAAGAAUGUGGAUGGUGUGAGAAUUGGAGGACUUGAUCUUUGAGAACCAUUUGGGCAGCAGUUUUGGAGGGGACCAGACAGCUAAUCCUGGUGAAGAGGACUCUGUGACCCAGAAGACGCCUCAGAUGCA